UACGUAGGAUGCAAGCGUUGUCCGGAAUUAUUGGGCGUAAAGAGCGCGCAGGCGGUCUAUCAAGUCAGAUGUGAAAUAUCCCGGCUUAACCGGGAGGGGUCAUUUGAAACUGGUAGACUAGAGUACAGCAGAGGAUAGUGGAAUUCCUGGUGUAGCGGUGAAAUGCGCAGAUAUCAGGAGGAACACCGGUGGCGAAGGCGGGUCUCUGGGCCGAUACUGACGCUGAGGAGCGAAAGCGUGGGGAGCGAACAGG
rnacentral:rRNA from 1 species